rnacentral:rRNA from 1 species
AUUGAACGCUGGCGGCAGGCCUAACACAUGCAAGUCGAGCGGAGCGUUGCACGGGUAAGUAAUGCCUAGGAAUCUGCCUGGUAGUGGUGGCUAACGUCCGGAAACGGGCGCUAAUACCGCUUACUCUCAGAUGCGCCUAGGUCGGCUUAGCUAGUUGAGGGGUUAAAGGCCUACCAAGGCGACGAUCCGUAACUGGUCUGCGAGGAUGAUCAGUCACAGUGGAACUGAGACACGUCACGGAAUCCUACGGGAGGCAGCAGUGGUGAAUAUUGCGCAAGUGGGGCAACCCUGACGAAGCCAUGCCGCGUGAAUGAAGAAGGCCUUCGGGGUGUAAAGUCCUUUCGGUGACGAGGCGUUAAUCACAGAAGAAGCACCGGCUAACUCCGUGCCAGCGGCCGCGGUAAUUC